UGUAGUUGUGUUGUUGUGGGGUGUGGUGUUGCUGGGGCGUAGUUGGGUUGUUGUGGGGCGUAGCUGGGUUGUUGUGGGGUGUGGUUGGGUGUUGUGGGGUGUAGUUGUGUUGUUGUGGGGGUUGUUGUGGGGUGUGGUUGUGUUGUUGUGGGGUGGGGUUGUGUUGUUGUGGGGUGCGGUUGUGUUGUUGUGGGGUGGUUGUGUUGUUGUGGGGUGUGGUUGUGUUGUGGGGUGUGGUUGUGUUGCUGCAGUGUAGCUGUGUUGUUGUGGGGCGUAGCUGUGUUGUUGGGGGGUGUAGCUGGGUUGUGGGGUGUGGUUGUGUUGUUGUGGGGCGUGGUUGUGUUGUUGUGGGGUGUGGUUGUGUUGUUGGGGUGUGGUUGUGUUGUUGUGG
rnacentral:lncRNA from 1 species